GACGAACGCUGGCGGCGUGCUUAACACAUGCAAGUCGAACGGAAAGGCCCUGCUUUUGUGGGGUGCUCGAGUGGCGAACGGGUGAGUAACACGUGAGUAACCUGCACUUGACUUUGGGAUAACUUCAGGAAACUGGGGCUAAUACCGGAUAGGAGCUCCUGCUGCAUGGUGGGGGUUGGAAAGUUUCGGCGGUUGGGGGUGGACUCGCGGCUUAUCAGCUUGUUGGUGGGGUAGUGGCUUACCAAGGCCUUGACGGGUAGCCGGCCUGAGAGGGUGACCGGCCACAUUGGGACUGAGAUACGGCCCAGACUCCUACGGGAGGCAGCAGUGGGGAAUAUUGCACAAUGGGCGGAAGCCUGAUGCAGCAACGCCGCGUGCGGGAUGACGGCCUUCGGGUUGUAAACCGCUUUCGCCUGUGACGAAGCGUGAGUGACGGUAAUGGGUAAAGAAGCACCGGCUAACUACGUG
rnacentral:rRNA from 1 species